AUUGAACGCUGGCGGCAUGCCUUACACAUGCAAGUCGAACGGAUCCUUCGGGAUUAGUGGCGGACGGGUGAGUAACACGUGGGAACGUGCCUUUUGGUUCGGAACAACUCAGGGAAACUUGAGCUAAUACCGAAUGUGCCCUUCGGGGAAGGAUUAUCGCCAUUAGAGCGGCCCGCCGUCUGAUUAGCUUGUUGGUGAGGUAAAGGCUCACCAAGGCUACGAUCAGUAGCUGGUCUGAGAGGAUGAUCAGCCACAUUGGGACUGAGACACGGCCCAAACUCCUACGGGAGGCAGCAGUGGGGAAUCUUGCGCAAUGGGCGAAAGCCUGACGCAGCCAUGCCGCGUGAAUGAUGAAGGUCUUAGGAUUGUAAAAUUCUUUUCACCGGGGACGAUAAUGACGGUACCCGGAGAAGAAGCCCCGGCUAACUUCGUGCCAGCAGCCGCGGUAAGGCACGACUGU
rnacentral:rRNA from 1 species